AUUGAACGCUGGCGGCAGGCCUAACACAUGCAAGUCGAGCGGAGCGGCGGACGGGUGAGUAAUGCCUAGGAAUCUGCCUGGUAGUGGGGGAUAACGUCCGGAAACGGGCGCUAAUACCGCAUACUAUCAGAUGAGCCUAGGGCGGAUUAGCUAGUUGGUGGGGUGAAGGCCUACCAAGGCGACGAGCCGUAACUGGUCUGAGAGGAUGAUCAGUAACACGUGAACGGAUACACGGUCCAGUCUCCUACGGGAGUCAGCAGUGGGGAAUAUUGCCCAAGGGUCGCAAGCCUGAUGCAUCCAUGCCGCGUGUAUUAAGAAGUCCUUCGGGUUGUAAAUUACUUUCAGCGGGGAGGCGUUACCCGCAGAAGAAGCACCGGCUAACUCCGUGCCAGCAGCCGCGGUAAUUC
rnacentral:rRNA from 1 species